rnacentral:rRNA from 1 species
UUGGAGAGGUUUGAUCCUGGCUCAGGAUGAACGCUGGCGGCGUGCCUAAUACAUGCAAGUCGAGCGAACAGAUAAGGAGCUUGCUCCUUUGACGUUAGCGGCGGACGGGUGAGUAACACGUGGAUAACCUACCUAUAAGACUGGGAUAACUUCGGGAAACCGGAGCUAAUACCGGAUAACAUAUUGAACCGCAUGGUUCAAUAGUGAAAGGCGGCUUUGCUGUCACUUAUAGAUGGAUCCGCGCCGUAUUAGCUAGUUGGUAAGGUAACGGCUUACCAAGGCAACGAUACGUAGCCGACCUGAGAGGGUGAUCGGCCACACUGGAACUGAGACACGGUCCAGACUCCUACGGGAGGCAGCAGUAGGGAAUCUUCCGCAAUGGGCGAAAGCCUGACGGAGCAACGCCGCGUGAGUGAUGAAGGUCUUCGGAUCGUAAAACUCUGUUAUCAGGGAAGAACAAAUGUGUAAGUAACUGUGCACAUCUUGACGGUACCUGAUCAGAAAGCCACGGCUAACUACGUGCCAGCAGCCGCGGUAAUA